AAACAAAGAUACAAUUAACACAAUAACAAUUAAUUUAAAAUGCAUUCUAACAGUAAAUAACUGGAAUAUUUAAAGGGACACUCUAGUCACCAGAACAGUUUAUUGAAUUUGUCCUGGUGAGUAGAAUCAUUACCUUCAGGCCUUUUGCUGUAAACACUGAGAAAAUGCAUUGUUUAAAUUACAGCCUAGUGAUAACGUCACUGGCCACUCCUCAGAUGGCUGGGUCAUGGCUGCCUAAAAUGCAUCAAAAACAUUCAGUAUCUCCACCCUCUGUAUACAGACACUGAACUUUCCUCAUAGAGAUUCAUUGAUUAAAUUCAUCUCUAUGAAGAGAUGCUGAUUGGCUAGGGCUGUGUUUGAAUCAUGUUGGCUCUGCCCCGAUCUGCCUCUUUGACAGUCUCAGCCAAUCCUAUGGGGAAGCACUGUGAAACACUGGGGAAGCACUGUCAUUAGGCUUGUCAGUAAAAGCAAAAAAUUAAAGAAACCACUGUGGUACUCCGCAGAUGUGGCCAAAAUUGUAAAAAACAAAAAGUUAGCAUUUAGUAAUUAUAAAAAAAAAAGUGAGGAAGACAGAAUGAUCUAUAAGAUUAGGCAGAAAGAAGCUAAGCAAGUUAUAAGAGCUUCCAAAACACACACAGAAGAGAAAAUAGCACAGUCAGUAAAAAAG